GCGCUCGUGGUGGAAUUGGUAGACGCGCUGCCUUGAGGUGGCAGUGGGUAACACCGUGGGGGUUCGAGUCCCUCCGAGCGCA
rnacentral:tRNA from 1 species